rfam:Gossypium hirsutum cultivar TM-1 chromosome 16, whole genome shotgun sequence
AACUUAUGGUGAGGGCACCUUCUCAAAAGGACCUUGUAUCUCUCUCAUGCAUCGUAGAGAGUUUCUAAAUCCAUCUGCAUAAAAGAGGAGAUGUCAUUACGUAAUUU